rnacentral:rRNA from 1 species
GACGAACGCUGGCGGCGUGCUUAACACAUGCAAGUCGAACGGAAAGGCCCUGCUUUUGUGGGGUGCUCGAGUGGCGAACGGGUGAGUAACACGUGAGUAACCUGCCCUUGACUUUGGGAUAACUUCAGGAAACUGGGGCUAAUACCGGAUAGGAGCUCCUGCUGCGUGGGGGGGGUGGGAAAGUUUCGGCGGUGGGGGAUGGACUCGCGGCUUAUCAGCUGGUUGGUGGGGGAGUGGCUUACCAAGGCUUUGACGGGUAGCCGGCCUGAGAGGGUGACCGGCCACAUUGGGACUGGGAUACGGCCCAGACUCCUACGGGAGGAAGCAGUGGGGAAUAUUGCACAAUGGGCGGAAGCCUGAUGCAGCAACGCCGCGUGCGGGAUGACGGCCUUCGGGUUGUAAACCGCUUUCGCCUGUGACGAAGCGUGAGUGACGGUAAUGGGUAAAGAAGCACCGGCUAACUACGUG